UGGGGAAUCUUGGACAAUGGGCGCAAGCCUGAUCCAGCCAUGCCGCGUGGAUGAUGAAGGCCCUAGGGUUGUAAAAUCCUUUCGUUGGGGACGAUAAUGACGGUACCCAAAGAAGAAGCUCCGGCUAACUUCGUGCCAGCAGCCGCGGUAAUACGAAGGGGGCUAGCGUUGUUCGGAUUUACUGGGCGUAAAGCGCGUGUAGGCGGGUCGUUAAGUUGGGGGUGAAAUCCCGAGGCUCAACCUCGGAACUGCCUUCAAAACUGGCGACCUGGACUCAAGUAGAGGCAAGUGGAAUUGCGAGUGUAGAGGUGAAAUUCGUAGAUAUUCGCAGGAACACCAGUGGCGAAGGCGACUUGCUGGACUUAUGGUGACGCUGAGACGCGAAAGCGUGGGGAGCAAACAGGAUUAGAUACCCCGGUAGUCCCUGAGCGGGCUGGCAAGGCGCAU
rnacentral:rRNA from 1 species